GUUAGAAUAACUUAAUUUAAAGUGGUAAAUUGUAAAUUUAUAAAUGGGUAUUUUCCUUUCUAUCA
rnacentral:tRNA from 1 species